UGAACUUCAACCGUACACUACCAUACCAUUCGAUGGAAACACGUAAAAUUUGCUCCUCUCAUUUGGCCGUACAAAUUGAUAAGUAUUUAAACAAUUAAACAAACACCACAUGCAAUUCUCAAACCACACACGUAUUGUACUUUUAGGUAAACCACAUCGAGCUUGCAUUCACAUCCUUAGGGAACACGCGCAUGAUACAAGUGUGCAUCGGAUCGGCCAGAAAACAUAACGAGAGGCUUGGCUCCUUCCUUCCUUCAUUCUCCAAAUUGCUAGCGGAGUAACAUCAUACAUUGGAGCAUGUCAGCAUAUUGCAGUAUGCCUGCCAAGCAUCCCGGAGUUUCCAUGCGUAGCCGGACCGAUUAAGCUAGGAAGUUGCAUCGAUGAUGGAUGGUGCCGGCUUUUUAACGGUGGGUGUUGGUCGAUAUAUUUUACAUGUAUUGAGGAGCAUAGGAUUGUACUGUGCGGUUGUUGCUGGAUCCGGUAAAUGUAUACCUUUGGCUGGAGCUGCUUUAAAACUGUUUGGUGGUAACAAUCGUGAAGGUAUUGCACUGGUUGUUGCUGAAACAUAAAUGGUAUACCUUUGGCUGGAGCUGCGUUAAAACUGUUUGGUGUUAACAAUCGUGAAGGUAUACCUUUAGUCGGUGCUGCAGUAACAUUGAUUCUGGGUGAUGUUUUGCUGGUUGGAGUAAUCGAAGCUGCCUGUAUCACAACUUUGUUGGGCCUGAUGGUAAGCUGCGGCAAUCUGGACCUUAAAGCUGACAACGUGCAACUUUUUAACGAUCGAUUCGUGUUUGCCGCUUCUCGAAACAUGUUUUCUACGAAAGAUGAGGAACACUGGCGCACACACACUGGCAGAGGAACAAUGGGACACUAAUUUUAAAUAAUAAAUCCAAAUUCACCGACGUAAUAUCACAA